rnacentral:tRNA from 1 species
UCCCUGGUGGUCUAGCAGCUAAGGAUACCGCGCUCUCUCCGCUGCGGCCCAGGUUUGAUUCCUGGCCAGGGAA